UCCAGUCUCCCGAGUGACUCUCUCGAGGUUCUACUAAACUCGUUAAGCUUCCGGGUGCUUAACAAACCGUUACAACUGAGAACUUGAGUCACACAAGCCUCAACAACCGUUGCUCGAAGAUACCGCACUUCAAGACAUCAAACGAAGGAAUAGAAUGUUCCUUCUUACAACAAGGGAUUAUAGAAUUUCCUUCAAGUGUAUAAACACUCAAUACUCACUUAUACAAUUGCUC
rnacentral:lncRNA from 1 species